GAAAUAUGAUUGUUCAUAAUAAAAUUUCUAAUUUUAAUUAUUAAUGGUUUAAUUCCAUUUAUGUUUCU
rnacentral:tRNA from 1 species